AGCGCGGCGUGGGGCUGCCCCUCCCCGGAGGCGGCGGGGGCGGCCGGGGCCGCGCCGCACCGCACCGCGCGGGCGGCUAUGGAGCGAGCCUGAGGCCGGCUAGGACAUGAAUUAGCUCCCUUUGACUACCAUUUCAGUGCGAAGCCAGAAACUUCAGCCUUCAGAUUGAUUUCACACCUGGAACCGUGGAGGUGCUGCAGUGAAGAAAUAUGUAAUCAUGGAGUCUCCUUGCUAAUCGUCACCACCUGUUCCCUGUGAUAAGCCGGCAGGGACCAGCAGGGACGUGGGUCGAGGAGA